GGCUGCAGUCGAGGAUCUUCGGCAAUGGGCGCAAGCCUGACCGAGCGACGCCGCGUGGAGGAUGAAGGCCUUCGGGUUGUAAACUCCUGUCGAGGGGGAGGAAGGGGAAACCUUGACCGAUCCCUGGAGGAAGCACGGGCUAAGUUCGUGCCAGCAGCCGCGGUAAGACGAACCGUGCGAACGUUAUUCGGAAUCACUGGGCUUAAAGCGCGUGUAGGCGGAUGGGAACGUCGGAUACUGAAAGCCCCCGGCUCAACCGGGGAAGUGGUUCCGAAACGACCUGUCUGGAGGGACGUAGGGGGAUCUGGAACUUCCGGUGGAGCGGUGAAAUGCGUUGAGAUCGGAAGGAACGCCCGUGGCGAAAGCGAGGUCCUGGACGUCUGCUGACGCUGAGACGCGAAAGCUAGGGGAGCGAACGGGAUUAGAUACCCCGGUAGUCCUAGCCGUAAACGAUGGGCACUGGGUAGGGGGCUUGCCGAUGGGCUCUCUGCCGUAGCGAAAGCGUGAAGUGCCCCGCCUGGGGAGUAUGGUCGCAAGGCUGAAACUCAAAGGAAUUGACGGGGGCUCACACA
rnacentral:rRNA from 1 species